rnacentral:rRNA from 1 species
UAAUACAGAGGUCCCAAGCGUUGUUCGGAUUUACUGGGCGUAAAGGGUGCGUAGGCGGCUAGAAAAGUUUGGUGUGAAAUCUUCGGGCUCAACCCGGAAACUGCACUGAAAACUAUCUGGCUAGAGGAUCGGAGAGGAGAUUGGAAUUCUCGGUGUAGCAGUGAAAUGCGUAGAUAUCGAGAGGAACACCAGUUGCGAAGGCGGAUCUCUGGACGGUUCCUGACGCUGAGGCACGAAAGCUGGGGUAGCGAAGAGGAUUAGAUACCCUCGUAGUCCCAGCCGUAAACGGUGCACACUUGCUGUGGGCGGAUUCGACCCCGUCCGUGGCGAAGCUAACGCGAUAAGUGUGCCGCCUGGGGAGUACGGUCGCAAGAUUA